UACGAAGGGUGCAAACGUUGCUCGGAAUCAUUGGGCGUAAAGCGCACGUAGGCGGCUUCGCAAGUCGGAUGUGAAAUCCCUCGGCUCAACUGAGGAAGUGCAUCCGAAACUGGCAAGCUUGAGUACGAAAGAGGGUCGCGGAAUUCCCGGUGUAGAGGUGAAAUUCGUAGAUAUCGGGAGGAACACCGGUGGCGAAGGCGGCGACCUGGGUCGAUACUGACGCUGAGGUGCGAAAGCGUGGGGAGCAAACAGG
rnacentral:rRNA from 1 species